rnacentral:tRNA from 1 species
CGGGCCGGUGGCGGACGGGGCGGAGCCGGCGUUGGCGCCGCCGGGGUGGGGUUCGUCCUCCCGGCACGGC